CCCCUCUCAGGGUCACACCUGGAGAGUUUUCAGUACUCUUCCAGUCUAGACUACGGGAGGGAGAGUCAAGCAGAGGCCUACCCAUUCCAUUCCUAGCUUGGGCAGUGGCUAGCGAAUGGAAGGCCAUCUGGUACAAGU
rnacentral:snoRNA from 1 species